rnacentral:rRNA from 1 species
ACUUUUGUGCCGUUGUAUUCUGAAGUUAGGGUCCUGAGAAACGAUGCUUAAGUCUUCUGGAAAGGAGCGCCAUGGAGGGUGAUAGCCCCGUCUAGCAUUGACCUCAUAUAGGAUCUUAACAUGGAGUCGAGUUGUUUGGGAAUGCAGCUCAAAUGGGUGGUAUGCUCCAUCUAAAGCUAAAUAUCUGCGAGAGACCGAUAGUAAACAAGUACUGUGAGGGAAAGAUGAAAAGAACUUUGAAAAGAGAGUGAAAAAGUACGUGAAAUUGUUGAAAUGGAAGGGUAGGCCGCUAACCAUGUAGAGCCGUGUUUGGGGGGAAGAUAAAUGCUGUAGAAUGUAGCUCCUCGGAGUAUUAUAGAUGCAGUUCAUAUUCCCACCCGAGCGCGAGGAU